rnacentral:rRNA from 1 species
AUUGAACGCUGGCGGAAUGCUUUACACAUGCAAGUCGAACGGUAGAGGGGGCAACCCCUCGAGAGUGGCGAACGGGUGAGUAAUAUAUCGGAACGUGCCCAGUCGUGGGGGAUAACGUAGCGAAAGUUACGCUAAUACCGCAUACGAUCUAAGGAUGAAAGCGGGGGAUCCCAAGACCUGGCGCGAUUGGAGCGCCCGAUAUCAGAUUAGGUAGUUGGUGGGGUAAAGGCUCACCAAGCCAACGAUCUGAAGCUGGUCUGAGAGGACGACCAGCCACACUGGAACUGAGACACGGUCCAGACUCCUACGGGAGGCAGCAGUGGGGAAUUUUGGACAAUGGACGCAAGUCUGAUCCAGCCAUUCCGCGUGCAGGAUGAAGGCCCUCGGGUUGUAAACUGCUUUUGUACGGAACGAAAAGGUCUCUCUUAAUACGGGGGGCUCAUGACGGUACCGUAAGAAUAAGUACCGGCUAACUACGUGCCAGCAGCCGCCGUAA